GGGAAUGUAGUUCAGUGGUAGAGUGCUUGCCUUGCAUGCAUGAGGCCCUGGGUUCAAUUCCUCAGCACCA
rnacentral:tRNA from 1 species